GAUGAACGCUGGCGGCGUGCCUAAUACAUGCAAGUCGAACGCUUCUUUCCUCCCGUGUGCUCGCACUCAAUUGGAAAGAGGAGGGGCGGACGGGUGAGUUACCCGAGGUUAACCUAUCCAUUAGCGGGGGAUAACACGUGGAAACAGGUGCUAAUACCGCAUAACAGUUUAUGCCGCAUGGCAUAAGAGUGAAAGGCUCUUUCGGGUGUGGCUGAUGGAUGGACCCGCGGUGCAUUAGCUAGUUGGUGAGGUAAGGGCUCACCAAGGCCACGAUGCAUAGCCGACCUGAGAGGGUGAUCGGCCACACUGGGACUGAGACACGGCCCAGACUCCUACGGGAGGCAGCAGUAGGGAAUCUUCGGCAAUGGACGAAAGUCUGACCGAGCAACGCCGCGUGAGUGAAGAAGGUUUUCGGAUCGUAAAACUCUGUUGUUAGAGAAGAACAAGGACGUUAGUAACUGAACGUCCCCUGACGGUAUCUAACCAGAAAGCCACGGCUAACUACGUG
rnacentral:rRNA from 1 species